rnacentral:lncRNA from 1 species
CAUAGUACUAAUUCUAUGAUUUAUUAUUAUCCUGAUGUUUAUAGAUAUACUUAUAAAUAUACAUCUAGGACUCAAUAAUAUUCGAUUUCUAUUUAAAACUAUAAUUUUAACGUUAUUAUCCAAGUUUACUUAUUUAUAGAGAUGACAACUGCACAAAAGAAAUUAUAAUUUUGCAGCAAUAUAUAUGAUAUUAUAGCAUUAUAAGUAUGCAUACGUAUUUACAAAUCAUUUAUAUAAUAAAUAGUCAUGAAUUUAAUAAUGUAUUAUUUAAAUAUUUGUGUUACAAUUGUAAAUUUUUAUUUAUAGUCGAUAAUGUCAUCGCUCUUCAAUUACCACCGGGCCUCCCGGGGCCCCCCGGGGCUGCGUUCAAAAAGAUCACCCGGGUGCCCCUUAGGUAUCACUUUAUCUUUGUUGUUCAUCGAAUGUUAAACAAGGAUAAAAUGAUAUCUGGGAAUACUGGAAAGUCUGAAAUCUGGGGUGAUGUUUCUAAAUACAGCUUGCGAUGAAAAUUGUCUAUUUGAUGAUCUUUAAUAGUAUCUAGUCGGUUUAAAUGUACAACUAAUAAUUAAUUAGUGAUGAGUUAAUCUCAAUGUAAUUAGAACUAGCCAGCCACUGGAUUAUAAAUUAAAUCGACUAGAUUUAUCUCUAUUAGGAAGUUUAUUGUUCACUUAAAGAGAUAUUCUACUUUUCUGGGUCUAAAAAAGACCUACUUUAAUGCAAUUUUUGUUAAAAUUAUUGAAGCAAUUGAGAUGCAACUUUUGUAGAAAUAUGUUCAUAUUGAGACUUUUAAAAUUGUUUUUAUAUAAAUUAAUCAGUAGCUCUCAAUCACUUCCAUAAAGAGGAUUUACAGUCCCUCUAAUUUGAAGUCAUCUAUACAUAAUCCGUUGGAUAGUUAUUGUCAUAUAUAAUAAAAAAUAUCAUCAUAAUCUACAAAAAUCCAUAAAUAUUUCUAUAAUUUCUUCUUUGCAUCUUAAUUACUUUAAUUGCUUUUUUCUUAAAAUAUUCUUGAAAAGGUUUUUUUUUGGAACGUAAAUACUUUUUUAAAGAAAGACUUUCAAAGAAUUCCAAAGGAAAUUAUUACUGGGAUGAACUUUUUUAGGGGGGAAAUUAUUUGUGAAACUAGAGCUUGCAAUUUCGUGAUAAUCUUCAGAAGACAUGCAGGUGACAGGUGUCUGGCAAAUAAGUUUCUGGUUCAUGGAUGGUGAUUUUUCUCGCAAAUGAUAAAUUUGAUUGUUUGGUUGUGAAAAUCGGCGGUUGCCUCUUCGACGCGCCAUUACGCCGAUCGCGGGAUGGUUGUAUAUCAAUUGCAGACAUGACAAAUCGUAUUUUCUGCACAAUCGCGCGCGUGAAAGGCGCACCGCCGCAUGCACGUCCAGCUAUAAAUAGGCACACUAAGAUAGCCACGCCUUAAUCACUGUAACACUGGAACGGAUAGCGGCGUUAAUGCUCGUCUGAUAUUGUUGCGACAGACGUCGUUUUACAAUCCGCUGUAUGCAUUCGUACAUUGCGUCCCGUUUGUCAUAUGCCACAAUAGGUUAUCGUAACGACAGUCACGAAGCGAUUUGAAACGAGAAGAAUUUGAAUCUGUAUUUAGGAUAAUCACUCUAGCGAACAAUUAUAUAGGAUUGUCUGAUUAUCACAAAUAAAUUAAGGGAGAUAAAACCUGAAUCGUUAUGGAUAAUUUCUUUCAAGCCAUGUCUUUUUUCCUUCACGUACAUAUAUAAUAUUAUACGUCACAAAAAUUCCAAAUCUCCAUGAAACGGAAGAUGGACCUUUUAAAAACUGAAAAGAAAAGUCUAACCCAAGAUAAACGACGAUCUUUAUGUCAUCUUACAUAUACUUGUGGUGACAUUUCACGAAGCAACGCAAACGAGGCUUUCGAAAUUCCUUUUGCAUUCAUAAUUGAAACUUGUUUAAAUCCCUUCUUAAGUUUUAAACAAUGUUGUCAAGUUUUAGAUACAUAUUUAUAAUAAAUAUAAUAAAAAAUUAUGUAUUUUAUACAUCAAUACAAUAAUUCUUUAAAUAUAUAACUUUUUUCAACCUUAACAAUUUCUCUAAAUUUUCUAUCGUUUUAAAAAAAUUCCACUGUGAUAAUAACAAAACCAAAAUUUGAGAAAAAUCUUCCAUCUUUCUAAAUAACUUUUAUAUUAAGUAUUAAAUACGUGAUUCAAUUUAUCACAUUAAGGAUUGCUUGUUCUAACUUCUCAGUAAAUUUACCUAUCAGAUAAAUGUAUGUCUGUCUUUAUUUAUUUAAGAAAUGAAAUGAAUAUAGAAGAUACAUGCUUAUCUGAUAGGUAAGUUUACCAAGAAGUUGGAACAACCAGCUCUAAGGCCAAAUUUCGAUAUACUGCCAGUACUGAAAAUCUACAGUUUACGUUAUGUAGAUUCAGAAGAGUCCUAAAAGAAAAGUCCUACAGAAGAGUCCUAAAAACCAGAGAGGUGCAAACUCGUUUCUACUUCCUGAUUGGUUGUGUUAUUCCUUCUUCCUGAUUGGUUGGUUAAGCCGUUAUGUCACGCAUACAACGUCCCAUGUAAGUUUGGGUUUGUCGUUUUUAAUGUGAGAUUAAUGUGAAGCAGCAUAGUUGAGGGGAGGGGGGUAAAGUUUGCGCCUUUCUAGUUUUUAAGACUGUAACUUAAAUUAUAAAUUUUUAAUACUAGUAAUGAAUUUCGGAACAUAGUUUAUAUUGAUAUAUUACCAUUAACGUACCCAUGAUUUCAAUGGAGAAGGAGAGGGGAAGUAAAGCUUCUUCUCUUCAAUCUUUGAUCCAAUUUUUUAAAUUCUCUUUUUUAAUUUUUUUUAUUUUGUCUAGAAAAGCAUACAUUGGCCAACAAGAAUUUAACUUUUUGUUGUAAAAAUCGUAUGCAUAAUUAACUUUUUUCAAGCUAAAAUUUGAAGAAAGAUAAAUACCUCUUCCUGUUACCUCUUGCAUACGCUCAUCGUAUAUCGUUAGAUAUGUAAAUCUUGUGUCAAGUUAUAAAAUUUAAAUAUAAAAUAAAGCAUAAAUUUAAAAUUUUUUAGGUAUAGAUGUUAAUUAAUUAGUAUUUGGUGCAUAUUAUGUUACAUAUAGCAUAAUCUUUUUACAUAAAAAAAUGAAUUGUAGUUGAUAUUUGGAAAAGACAAAUAUAAUAAAAGAAAUUAUAGUGAUUUGAUGGUAGAGAAAAUAGAGUAAAGAAAUAGUAUAAAUUAUUUUUAAUUGUCAUACAUUACGCUAUACAUACCCACGUAGAACACAGUCACAACAUCACAAUGAUGUUAUUAUGAUUGUAUUUGUCAUUUACAUAAGUACAUAAAAGAUGAUCUUAUGACAUCAUCGUGAUGUCAAGUCGCAAAUGACAUCAUUGUGACAUCAUUAUAGCCGAUAUUCAUAGUCGAGUCUUAUAUUUAGGUCUUUAGUACUCUAUCUUAAGAUGUCAUGAACCGAUCACAGAGCCGUGUUAGCAUCUUAAAACAUUACUAGAAAGAUAGUCUUGAAAUAAGAUUUGAUUAUGAAUAUUGAAUACUAGUCUUAUGUCUUCUGUGUUUUAUCUGGGUAUCUUAAUCUUAUUCAGUUUAUUGGUUAAAAAUGGCGGAAGUCAAUAGUAUUUAUAAGCUUUUUUAUGAUCUAUUAGAUCGUAGACCUGUUCUUUGCAUCUAUACUAUAUGUUUUUAAAUUUUCUGUGCUUAAUAAAAAAUACAUAUAUAGUCAGUGAUUGAGAAAAGAAAAAGAGAAGAUAACAAGGGCAAAAUUUAGUGAUAAAGAUUGUUUAUAGAGCAAAUAAUUCAUUUUUAUUUCCUUAUUUGAUCUUGAGGGAAUGAAUUAUUCUUAUACGAGAGUGUCGAUAAUAAACUUGAGUAAAGAUUCAUCGAAGUUGCUAAAUGACCUGAAGAUGGCACUAGUUUUAAUCUGCAAGUUAUGAUUUAGGCCUAUGGCACACACUUUCCAUAAGACGUAACAGUAAGGUUUCGACAAAUCACGUAUUCGAUUUAGCCGGUUAUGGUUACGGUCAUCCAAUUCAACGCGUCGAAACCUUACUGUUACGUCUUACAGAAAGCGUGUGGCACAGGCCUUAUUGUCGAUAAAUUAUGCUAUAAGCAAAUUAAGAUGAAUGUAGGUGUGUUUGAAAUGUACUUACAGUACUGAAAGUCUACUGCACAACAUGAAUCAUAGAUUUUUAGUAUUGUUAGUACAUUUCGGAACAUGCCUUAUAUACACUGUGUGCGGAGGCGGCAUAUAUAAACACACUAAGCGAUUUAUAAAUACGGUAUGAGGUGAUGAUGGCGCUAAUUUUCUAAGGGUACAAAAAUUGAAACAGUUAUAAUAUAUAAAAGAAACAUUAUUUUUAAAUUUAUUUAAAAUAUUUAUAUUUUUUAUUUACGGCAAAUUUUAUCGAAUGUAUUUUUUGUUCCUUUUUCUUGAUUAAUUAAAUAGCAUAAAAUUGAUACAUCUCAUGCAUUACAAGAAAGAAAGUAAAUUGUUAAUUACAACAUUUUACACACAUGGUUACAUACGAUAAAACUUUUGUAUAUAUUAAAAAUUGCAAUUCUAACAGCGAUGUAAAAGGAUAAAUCUAGAACAGUAGUAUACCUAUUCAUUAAACCACAGAAAUAAUUAUAAAAGAUAAUGAAUGAUGAAUAAUGCAUGAUGAAUAAUAUUACAAAAAA